CUGCAUUGCCAUAUAUGAUCUCUUUGUACUGAGCAAAGCUGCCUGUGAAGACUGCAAUUGUAAGGAAAAGGCACACCGAUAAAAUGAAUGCUGCAGGGAUGGCUAGCAACAAAGCUCCGGUGAUGAUCCCUUCAAUGGUACCACCUAUCAAUCAUACAUAUCUUUAGUUCCUUGAAACAUCAAGAUAAUCUAGUCAAACCAUAUGUCAUAUAGUUAUAAUUUCUCACCUCUUAUUACAAAUGCAGCAGACUGAGAUAUACAGGGUAGUGCGAGAAUUAAAAGGAGGAGCUCGAAUCUCGGAACCGAAAGCAUCCAUUGAGCUGCUGUACCAAUCCUCCAUUUUAAGAAA
rnacentral:lncRNA from 1 species